rnacentral:lncRNA from 1 species
CAUUAGAUGGCUCGGCUGCUCUUUCACCUUCCUGCUUUCCUGAUCCUGCCGCCUGCGACCACCAGAAGCGGCAGGAACCUGUAGACUGGGCCCUCGGUACCUCGCGCGGAUGCCCUGGAAGGAAGUCCUCCUCCUCUGGCCCCGCCCACCGAGGCGGACGCGCCCGGGCUGCAGAGUGCUGAGCCCGGCCUUGGGGUCCGCUUCUCCCCAACAGCUGCUCCCUGCCCUCUCUGAGGUCUCGCCGACUGCAGCCCUUUUGUGUCAGAACGAAUUUUCUGCACAGUCAUUCCGCUCGCUGACCAGCAACAUGUUAUCCCUGCGGCCUGCCUGAUGAUUUGAGGAAAAGAAUUGAGAGUCCUACUGAAUCUCCAUACAAGUGACAGUCUCACAAGGCAAGGUAAGGAUAAAAAGAAAUCCUCUUCGCGGACUGUCCUGAGAGGAAAAAGAAAACAACGAUUGUUAAGCAUUUCUCCUAUCCAGCAUGUCCUGUUUCGAAAACCAAUAUUAUUACUGUAAAAG